GAUGAAGAACGUAGCGAAAUGCGAUAAGUAAUGCGAAUUGCAGAAUUCCGUGAGUCAUCGAAUCUUUGAACGCACAUUGCGCCCUCUGGUAUUCCGGAGGGCAUGCCUGUCUGAGCGUCAUUGUCAACCCUCAAGCUCAGCUUGCUGUUGGGUCCCCGUCGUUGCUUUAACGGCGGACCCGAAAGGUAAUGGCAGAGUCCGUGAGACCCUAGACGCAGCGAGCUUCUAGCACGCGUCUGGACGUUUUUCGGGCUCGGUCUUAACUAGAUGAUAACUUCCGAUUGACCUCAGAUCAGGUAAGGAUACCCGCUGAACUUAAGCAUAUCAAUAAGCGGAGGA
rnacentral:misc_RNA from 1 species